AUAAUACUCCCUCUGUCCGGAAAUACUUGUCAUCAAAAUGGAUAAAAGGGGAUGUAUCUAGAUGUAUUUUAGUUCUAGAUACAUCUCUUUUUAUCCAUUUUGAUGACAAGUAUUUUCGGACGGAGGGAGUACUGU
rnacentral:pre_miRNA from 1 species